GCUGGUAUUUGAAUUCAAGAAGGGUUGCUGGUGAAUUCUCCCUUCUGCUGCCUCAGGCACUGGCCAUGGUGCUGAAUGCUGAUGAUGUGUUGAAAGCCGGUUGUGUGCAGCCCUCUGCGGCAGGUAUACUCACUCUCCACUUUCUUCUGAAGUCCCUCUGAAGGGAGAAAUCUCACCACUGCUGCUGCCUUCAUUGUUCUCCAUGGCAACAGGUGGUAAGAAGGAUCUGAAGAAGACAUUUUUAGGCCAGUGGUGAAGCUCACCUCCCAUUGUUCAUCAGAGAGGUGAUGGACUAACGGUAUGCUAUGAGGAAUAUUGGCAUUUUAAGGAUUGACUGAUGAGAGAAAAACAAGCUUAAACUAAAGGAACAGAAAUUCAGAAACUGAUGCAAGCAUUUCUGGGAAGGGGACUUUCCCAGCUCAGACUCAUGGAAACACUUUCUGGAAAGGUAGCAGUAGAGAGGCUGAUGUCUACUGUGAGGCUCUGGUAACUGCUGUUGUACUCUUGCUUCCAUAGCACAACUGUACUGUUUCCCUGAGGAUGAUUGUGU